GCCGAGGUUGCCGAGUUUGGAAAGGCGCAAGCCUGGAGAGCUUGUUCUGCAUUGCAGAACCAGGGUUCAAAUCCCUGCCUCGGCG
rnacentral:tRNA from 1 species